rnacentral:rRNA from 1 species
AGAGUUUGAUUAUGGCUCAGGAUGAACGCUAGCGACAGGCUUAACACAUGCAAGGUCGAGGGGCAUCACGGGAGUAGCAAUACGACUGGUGGCGACCGGCGCACGGGUGAGUAACGCGUAUGCAACCUACCUAUCAGAGGGGAAUAACCCGGCGAAAGUCGAACUAAUACCGCAUAAAACAGGGGCACCGCAUGGUGAUAUUUGUUAAAGAAAUUCGCUGAUAGAUGGGCAUGCGUUCCAUUAGGUAGUUGGUGAGGUAACGGCUCACCAAGCCGACGAUGGAUAGGGGAACUGAGAGGUUGGUCCCCCACACUGGUACUGAGACACGGACCAGACUCCUACGGGAGGCAGCAGUGAGGAAUAUUGGUCAAUGGGCGGGAGCCUGAACCAGCCAAGUCGCGUGAAGGAAGAAGGAUCUAUGGUUCGUAAACUUCUUUUGCAGGGGAAUAAAGUGCAGGACGUGUCCUGUUUUGUAUGUACCCUGAGAAUAAGGAUCGGCUAACUCCGUGCCAGCCGCCGC